rnacentral:rRNA from 1 species
GAGCUGGCGAUGACUUACUCUCACAUGGGUAAUCCCACACUACCAUCAGCGCUAAGAGGUUUCACUUCUGAGUUCGGGAAGGGAUCAGGUGGUUCACUCUUGCUAUGGUCGCCA